UACUUCUUAAGCGCCGACGCUCCCACCCAUUUCUCACAAACCCCUCUCUCUCCGUUUAUUCCUCUUCACCGCCACAACCUCGCCUCUUCUCGUAAAAUGACAAAACAAAAAUAUACCCCAAUAUUCUAACUCCUCAGUCCAGUGCACUCCAUUACCAAAGCUUGGGCAUAGAACAAAUUGGUUUGGGCAAAAUAUAUCCCCAGUCCAGUGCACUCCAGUACGGAUUCUGUAUAAUAGAAGGGCCGGAAACAGAGCAAGACUUUGUUGCAAUGGAAUUGCAGGAGAUCCAAGAUUCUAUUCAGUCGUCGGAACAAAAUUUUCUUGCAUAUGGAGGAGGGUAUAAAUGGAAGCCAGGAACCUACUAUGGUACUAAAAUAGUGUUGUGCAGAAAUUAAUUACAGUUGAGAGAGAAAAACAUUAUCAUUACAAGGCAAAAUGGGUGAGAGUAGUAUAGAGAGAUACAUACCAUAACUCUUCAAACUUUGAUGGAAGAAGGGAAAGGUGCGUGGUGCUAUAUCAUGGGUGAAGUUCAUUGGCAUAGAUGUGGCUUCAUUUAUCACCCGAGAGCUGUCCUUCAAGCCUCCAAACAAAAUCCGGUUGGAAGGCUGAGAAUACAACAGAGGAUUAAAAGUGCAGAACUUGGGAUUUUAAAGUAAGCACAAGAGAAUGAACUUCCUAAUUUUCCAUCAUUCAUUCCAUUUUUGCCUCCUUUGGUGCGCUUUUUCGCAUAGGACAAUUAGAGCUAUGUUCUCCUUCAAGAUGUUGAUCAUCAAUAUAUUGCCUGCAGAGUUCAGCAAACCUUAAGCUGUAUUAUGCCACCUGUUCUUCUCUUAUUGCCGGGAUUAUCCUUUUUGGGGGCAUUCUAGCACGUUCUAGGAAGAAGAAUAUGACUCCGAUUGGCUCAAAGAUCUCGAAACACACUAAAGUGGAAGAUACAAACCUAAAAAGGGCCCCGAAGACCUCCAAAACAGAAUUGAUAUUCUACGAAAGCGGGCAGAAGUAAGUCCGUGGUAUCUUUUUGUUUUUAUAUUUGCUAAGUUUCUUUUGUUACUAAGUUGUGAUGUUUCUAUGUUUGACGAGGGGCCUGUCAUUGAUGCCGUUGUGUGGCAUGAUGGAGAAGUAUGGACGGCUGCUCUUGAGACACACAGUCUUGAAGAUGACCUGGAUUCUGGGAAACUUUAUAUCGUUAUCCCCCUGACUAAUCAUAGGUUCCAGUAUUUUCUGGUUUUCCAGCUUCCCCAAAUGGUGAUUUUCAGAUGUUCCCAGUCAUGUACCCUGCACUUGCACCAAACUUGAAUACUUUGCAAAAUCAGGAACAGAUUAAUCGUGGGCCGGCAUUUAUGCUGUUCCUGUUUUCCCAUAUAAGAUGAUUGUUUUAAUUUAAAGUACAUAAAUUUUUAUUGAACUUAAAAUUCUGGUUGGGUUUUAUUAUCAGUUACUCUUUGAGAUUUGAUUUUUCCUCCCGGAAUCGAAUUAUGUAUCACAUGUAGAGAAAAUAAUACUAUGUUUACUAUAUGGUGAACGCAUAAUAAGUAUUUUAUAGUAUUAUUGAUGUAGUAUAUUGUGCUAAACAAAUAUACCCAGGGUGAUUUUCUUCAGGUAUAUUAUUGUAAUGCAUGCAUAUAUUCUUUUGUUUUA